rnacentral:rRNA from 1 species
UGGGGAAUAUUGGACAAUGGGCGAAAGCCUGAUCCAGCAAUGCCGCGUGAGUGAUGAAGGCCUUAGGGUUGUAAAGCUCUUUCGGCGGGGACGAUGAUGACGGUACCCGCAGAAGAAGCCCCGGCUAACUUCGUGCCAGCAGCCGCGGUAAUACGAAGGGGGCAAGCGUUGUUCGGAAUUACUGGGCGUAAAGGGCGCGUAGGCGGCUCCAACAGUCAGACGUGAAAGCCCCGGGCUUAACCUGGGAAUUGCGCUUGAUACUGCGGAGCUAGAGUUCGGGAGAGGAGAGUGGAAUUCCCAGUGUAGAGGUGAAAUUCGUAGAUAUUGGGAAGAACACCAGUGGCGAAGGCGGCUCUCUGGACCGAUACUGACGCUGAGGCGCGAAAGCGUGGGGAGCAAACAGGAUUAGAUACCCCCGUAGUCC